AUUGAAUGCUGGCGGCGGGCCUAACACAUGCAAGGCGAGCGCAGCUGCGGAUGGGUGAGUAAUACCUAGGAAUCUGCCUGGUAGUGGGUGAUCACGUUCGGAAACGUACGCUAAUACCGCAUCCUAUCAGAUGCGCCUAGGUCGGAUUGGCUAGUCGGUGAGGUAAUGGCUAACCAAGGCUACGAUCCGUAAUUGGUCUGAGAGGAUGAUCAGUCACACUGGAAAUGAGACACGGUCCAGAAUCCUACGUGAGGCAGCAGUGGGUAAUAUUGGGCAAGGGGCGAAAGCCUGAUCCAGCCAUGCCGCGUGUGUGAAGAAGGUCUUCGGAUUGUAAAGCACGGUGAGUUGGGAGGCGUUACCGACAGAAUAAGCACCGGCUAACUCUGUGCCAGCAGCCGCGGUAAUAC
rnacentral:rRNA from 1 species